rnacentral:lncRNA from 1 species
AACGUUAACAUUUAAUUGAAGAGUGUUUUCUGCUUUUUUUUCCAAGAUGACUUCCACCAUACAGUAAUAAAGUUCUAACAAAUUAAUUUUUUGUUCACAAAAAACUUAUUAAAUGAUUUCUACUAAUAAAUAACAUUUACACCAUUUGCUUUAACAUAACAGAAAGCAAGAAAAAGCCAGUAAUCUCUAAGCACAAGCAAAUAAUCCAUCAUUCAGAAAAGCCUCAAAAAAAUACACCACCAGCUAGUCUCAUAUGUCUAACUGUCUCAUUUAGGAAGCAAAGCCCAGAUCCUUUCUUGGAAAAACGCCUGCUGACAUCUCUACUAGGAAACACAGCUUUGGGUCACAGUGCGCUGAGAAAGGAAGUGAGGCAUUCGUGAUGGUGUCUCCAAAAAGUUUCUCUGACAGACAAAAAUCCUAUCUUUGUUGCCACAAAUCAAAAUCUACAGUAGACCACCUCCUUAUUACAUGCACUUCACUUUAACACGCAAAAAACCAGAAAGUUAUUUGAAGACAGCUAUGUUAAGGGAGUGAAGGGAAUCGGGGCAAAGACUUACAAAAAGGCAGUGUGCAUGGCCCUCCCUUAGGGCUGCUCAGAGGGAUGGUCCACAUCCAUG